AUUGAACGCUGGCGGCAUGCUUUACACAUGCAAGUCGAACGGUAACAGGCCGCAAGGUGCUGACGAGUGGCGAACGGGUGAGUAAUGCAUCGGAACGUGCCCAGUCGUGGGGGAUAACUACUCGAAAGAGUAGCUAAUACCGCAUACGAUCUAUGGAUGAAAGCGGGGGACCGUAAGGCCUCGCGCGAUUGGAGCGGCCGAUGUCAGAUUAGGUAGUUGGUGGGGUAAGGGCUCACCAAGCCAACGAUCUGUAGCUGGUCUGAGAGGACAACCAGCCACACUGGGACUGAGACACGGCCCAGACUCCUACGGGAGGCAGCAGUGGGGAAUUUUGGACAAUGGGCGCAAGCCUGAUCCAGCAAUGCCGCGUGCAGGAAGAAGGCCUUCGGGUUGUAAACUGCUUUUGUACGGAACGAAACGGCUCUGGUUAAUACCCGGGGCUAAUGACGGUACCGUAAGAAUAAGCACCGGCUAACUACGUG
rnacentral:rRNA from 1 species